ACACCCCUCUCUUUGUUUAUUGAUUGUCUGCUGCUGGAACAUAAACUUCUGGGCAGGGACAUGACUGUCUCUCCAGUAUCCUAUCCUUACCCUUAGCAGAAUGCUGUCCAGCCAUUGGCAGCCAGUAGCUUCUCAUUUCAUAUGUUCAUUGACAGAUGACUGUAUUUUCAUCUUCAGGACUACCCAGAGAUUGGACAAUUUUCUAGAAGAACCCACGGAACUUGUGACAGCCGUUAUCGCUGUGAUUAGGGAUUGCUACAUGGGGAGAAUACAGAUGCACUUUGGCAAAGAGAAGAGCCCAGGAAAACCGCCAGACAUGGAGCCCCUGUUGUCCUCUCUCUGUGGAGUCAUGGCUGGUGCUGCUCUCCUACAACCACAUGUCACAAUGGCCAAAGAGAAUUAUCUAUUGCCGAAGCUCAA
rnacentral:lncRNA from 1 species